rnacentral:lncRNA from 1 species
UUUGAGUGCUGCUCUUCGUAAGGGAGGUUCAUUGUUGUCAGAAAGAUAUGCCCAGAGAGAUAGGGGGUUGACAAAAUUCACCCCACAAAUCAAAUAAGCCAACUGUGAGGCAGACUGCCUAUGUGGAAUUGGAAUUACAUUUGUUCAACAGCCAGAGGAGAGACAAUGUCUUUGCUGGCAAUCAGCAUUUUCUUAUCUUUAUUAUCACCUGAAAUUACUAAAGGCAAAGGAGAAGUUGAAUCCUGCUGCAAGAGAGUCAGUGUUUAGAGAGUGUUUGCUUUAACCUUAAAAGGUGAAGUAAUUAAUAUCACUGAUGUUGGGAACUCGAGGCUCACCUUUAUCCAACAAGUGCAUACCUAGGGAAGGCAAAAUACCUAUAGGCAAAGAAAAAGCAGUCUUGGAUAGUUCUUUUAAUUAUUUCAUUUAUCACCUAUUUUGAGGGAGACUGUGUACUCCAGAUCAAUGUGUACAUGUAAGAAAUAUACUUUCCAUCUCAACGCUGUCCACACAUGCACACAUACAUGAGUAAGUACACAAAAACACACGCAGUCACACACAAAACUGAAAUUAAAUUUCUUCAACAUAUUGUCUAUCCCAACUAGAGUUGAGCUAUCGGAUUUUUUGGGUUUUUUUUUUAGACAACUCUGUCACCCAGGCUGGAGUGCAGUGGCAUGACUUUGGCUCUCUGCAACCUCCACUUACUGAGUUCAAGAAAUUCUCCUGCCAUGAGACAAGAUGGUGCCAUUGCACUCCAGUCUGGGCAACAACAGCAAAACUCCGUCUCAAAACAAACAAACAAACAAACAAACAAACAAACAAACAAACAAACAAACAAACCCUAACAUCAUUCAGAGUUGCCCAGUAACUGUGUUGCCCACACAUACUGCUCCUAUUCUCAUGACCCCAUCAUAAUUGUAAUGCCACUUCUCUCUGUACAUGACUUCCUCUUCUCGGCCUCCAUUUCAAUUGUUCUCUUUCCACUUCUUCCAAUUGUUCUUUUUUUUUUUUUUUUACAUUUGUAUCUUCUGAAGAGAAAAUGUAACUGAAUCUCUGAGUUGCCUUCUGAUACAGAAUGUUCCAGUUAAGUUGUUCUUAUGGGCAAGGCCAGCUUAAUCCAUAACUAGUUGCCUUUGGUCAGGAAAUUAUUUUGGCUGUGGUCACAUAACACAAAACAUGUGAAGAUAAAUAGAAACAGGUACAGUCCUAUACAAAAUUAAGGUAUUGAGUUAAUAAAUGCAGUUUUGUGGUAUCUGUGAAGAUUAUUAAUAAAUAGUAGAGGCUGGCUGUGGGAAAGGUGAUAUAGAAGCACUGGAUAUAUCUUAUGAUGUUACUAUGCACAAUGACA